rnacentral:rRNA from 1 species
AGUGAACGCUGGCGGCGUGCCUAAUACAUGCAAGUCGAACGGAGUGGCGCACGGGUGAGUAAUGUAUAGCUAAUCUGCCCUACACUAGAGGACAACAGUUGGAAAGGACUGCUAAUACUCUAUAGUGUAGGAUGAGGCUAUAUUGUAUCAGCUAGUUGGUGAGGUAAUAGCUCACCAAGGCUAUGACGCAUCACUGAUGUGAGAGGAUGACCAGUCACGCUGGAACUGAGACAUGGUCCAGCCUCCUACGCGAGGAGGCAGGAGGGAAUAUUGCUGCCUAUGGGAAAGCCUGAAGCAGCAACGGCGCGUGGAGGAUAAAACUUUUCGGAGCAUACAAUCCUUUUAUUAGGGAAGCGGUACCUAACGAAUAAGCACCGGCUCACUCAGUUCCAGCAGCCGCGGUAAUAC